UACGGAGGGGGGCUAGCGUUGUUCGGAAUUACUGGGCGUAAAGCGCGCGUAGGCGGACCUGCAAGUCGGGGGGUGAAAGCCCGAGGCUCAACCUCGGAACUGCCUUCGAUACUGCGGGUCUCGAGUCCGGGAGAGGUGAGUGGAAUUCCUAGUGUAGAGGUGAAAUUCGUAGAUAUUAGGAAGAACACCAGUGGCGAAGGCGGCUCAGCUGGCCCGGUACUGACGCUGAGGCGCGAAAGCGUGGGGAGCAAACAGG
rnacentral:rRNA from 1 species